AUGGCGUGCGUUGUGUCCAGGCGCCGGCGUGCGUGGCGUGCAUGGCUUGCGUGCCUGGCGUGCGUCCAUACGCCGGCGUGCAUGGCGUGCGUGGCUUGCGUGCGUCCAGACGCCGGCGUGCAUGGCGUGCGUGGCUUGCGUGCGUCCAGACGCCGGCGUGCGUGGCGUGCGUCGUGGCGCUUCCGUGCGUGGCGUGCGUCGCGGUGCCGGUGUGCGUGGCGUGCAUGGCGUCGCGGCAUUGGCGUGCCAGGGUCUUGCAGUGCUUCAAGCGGCCAGCAGGCGGCGUGCCGCCACUACACUGUGAGCAAGAGCGCCCUGCAGUGCGCCAGCCGCCAGCAGUGCACACCUGGGGGACACCGCGAGUGCGGAGCUGCGUUUUCCUCUGUACGGACCUACGCGGCACAGCCUCGCUUUGGGACUACUGUGGGCCGCGUCCACGGUAAUUCAGGACAGCCGGGCAGGGUGGACAUCCACCGAGAAACUGAGCAAGUGUCUGUGCUGAGCUCUGGCAGCACCAGAGGGCGCACGAACCCACCCCGACCAACUUCCCUCUGA
rnacentral:lncRNA from 13 species